AGAGUUUGAUCAUGGCUCAGAAUCAACGCUGGCGGCGUGCCUAACACAUGCAAGUCGAACGAGAAAGUGGAGCAAUCCAUGAGUAAAGUGGCGACCGGGUGAGUAACACGUGACUAACCUACCCUAAAGUGGGGGAUAACUCCGGGAAACCGGGGCUAAUACCGCAUAACAUCGCGAGGGGAAGAUCCUUGUGAUCAAAGGAGCAAUUCGCUGAAGGAGGGGGUCGCGGCUGAUUAGUUAGUUGGUAGGGUAACGGCCUACCAAGACAAAGAUCAGUAUCCGGCCUGAGAGGGCGCACGGACACACUGGAACUGAAACACGGUCCAGACUCCUACGGGAGGCAGCAGUGGGGAAUUUUGCGCAAUGGGGGAAACCCUGACGCAGCAACGCCGCGUGGAGGAUGAAGUCCCUUGGGAUGUAAACUCCUUUCGAUCGGGACGAUUAUGACGGUACCGGAAGAAGAAGCACCGGCUAACUCUGUGCCAGCAGCCGCGGUAAUA
rnacentral:rRNA from 1 species